AAUAGAUACCCGGGUAGUCCACGCCCUAAACGAUGCUCACUAGGUGUUGGGGAAGCGAUUCCUUGGUACCGUAGCUAACGCGUGAAGUGAGCCGCCUGGGGAGUACGGCCGCAAGGUUAAAACUCAAAGGAAUUGACGGGGACCCGCACAAGCGGUGGAUGAUGUGGAUUAAUUCGAUGCAACGCGAACAACCUUACCUACCCUUGACAUGUCCGGAAGCCUGCUGAAAGGCGGGGGUGCUCGAAAGAGAACCGGAACACAGGUGCUGCAUGGCUGUCGUCAGCUCGUGUCGUGAGAUGUUGGGUUAAGUCCCGCAACGAGCGCAACCCUUGUCCCUAGUUGCUACGCAAGGGCACUCUAGGGAGACUGCCGGUGACAAACCGGAGGAAGGUGGGGAUGACGUCAAGUCCUCAUGGCCCUUAUGGGUAGGGCUUCACACGUCAUACAAUGGACGGUACAGAGGGUUGCCAACCCGCGAGGGGGAGCCAAUCCCAGAAAGCCGUUCGUAGUCCGGAUCGCAGUCUGCAACUCGACUGCGUGAAGUCGG
rnacentral:rRNA from 1 species